rnacentral:rRNA from 1 species
UACGUAGGGUGCGAGCGUUAAUCGGAAUUACUGGGCGUAAAGCGUGCGCAGGCGGUUCGUUGUGUCGGCGGUGAAAGCCCCAGGCUUAACCUGGGAAUGGCCGUUGAAACUGGCGAACUGGAGUGUGGCAGAGGGGGGUGGAAUUCCGCGUGUAGCAGUGAAAUGCGUAGAGAUGCGGAGGAACACCGAUGGCGAAGGCAGCCCCCCUGGGCUAACACUGACGCUCAGGCACGAAAGCGUGGGGAGCAAACAGG